rnacentral:snRNA from 1 species
GCAUGUGUGGGCCAACUGCCUGCAAAAUCUGCCACCCAACUGAUUGCCAGGGUUGAAUGAACUCAUCUGGCUGGCUAGGCAGGUGACUGCUUCCUUCCUCACUCGUCCAUGUGCAUCCCUCCCAAAAUUGCAUAUCCAUUUGGUUGGAGGGGACAACCUUUCCUGAUAGAGGGGAAAUUUUCAGAAGA